rnacentral:rRNA from 1 species
UGAACGCUGGCGGUAUGCUUAACACAUGCAAGUCGAACGGUAACAGCAGAGCUUGCUCUGGCUGACGAGUGGCGGACGGGUGAGUAACGCGUAGGAAUCUGCCUGAUAGUGGGGGACAACCUGGUGAAAACCAGGCUAAUACCGCAUACGCCCUACGGGGGAAAGCGGGGGAUCUUCGGACCUCGCGCUAUCAGAUGAGCCUGCGUCGGAUUAGCUAGUUGGUAAGGUAAUGGCUUACCAAGGCGACGAUCCGUAGCUGGUUUGAGAGAACGACCAGCCACAUUGGGACUGAGACACGGCCCAGACUCCUACGGGAGGCAGCAGUGGGGAAUAUUGGACAAUGGGGGCAACCCUGAUCCAGCAAUACCGCGUGUGUGAAGAAGGCCCGAGGGUUGUAAAGCACUUUCAGUAGAGAAGAAAAGCCCAAGGUUAAUAACCUUGGGUCUUGACGUAACCUACAGAAGAAGCACCGGCUAACUCC